GCGAGAACUUUACAAUGCUGGCAACAGCGAUAAGGGAACCUCGAGUGCCAGGUUACAAAUCUGGCUGUCGAGAUGCCUAAAAAGCAUUUCAUAGCAAGGGCCGGGCAAGACCGGUGCCAGCCGCCGCGGUAACACCGGCGGCUCGAGUGGUAAUCGUUAUUAUUGGGUCUAAAGGGUCUGUAGCCGGCCGGAUAAGUCUCUUGAGAAAUCUGGCAGCUUAACUGUCAGGCUUUCAGGAGAUACUGUCUGGCUCGAGGCCGGGAGAGGUGAGAGGUACUUCAGGGGUAGGGGUGAAAUCUUGUAAUCCUUGAAGGACCACCAGUGGCGAGGGCGUCUCACCAGAACGGACCUGACGGCAAGGGACGAAAGCUAGGGGCACGAACC
rnacentral:rRNA from 1 species